GCCCCGCCCCGUCGGCCAGGCCCCGCCCCGUCGGAGCCCCUCCCCCUGGCUGCGGGUAGCCUUCCGCUCGGUCGGAGCCGCGGUCACGGGGCUUGGCGGUGGCCCUCGUCCUUCGUUACUCAGGAGAAAAAAAGAGGGAGAGAGAGAGAGAAAAUCAAGUCGCAGCCGGCUUGGCCCGGUGUUGGGGGCGGUCGCGCGGAACGCCAUCCUGCCUGAAACUCAGGAAACACAAGGUCCCUGGUUGUGUAAUAUGAGUACACUUGAAAGUUCCUCGUCCUUAUCUGGCAACCCAGAUGGAUAAAUACUGGCCCUGAAGAUGCUUUUCUUAAAACUGAGCACAAGUGGCUGCAGAACAGAGCUUGGGAAGAACCAGUUAUUCUUCUGUCAGUUCAAAACUGGGGGCCCCUUCCCUCUAGCAUUCAUCCUCUGCUUGCCGGGGCAUAUCAAUUUCACCCAAAUCACGUGGACUAAGGUGGUGAUGGUGGGCUGUGGUAGGUAUGAUUUCCCCAAAGAAAAUUCAGAUGAAGUCACCAGAGGGAAGAAGGAAGAAUGGAUGUUUAUGCAAAAGACGCAGAUGUCCACAACAGUUCCCACAUGGGAAGAGAAUAAUCCAGGUUUAAGAGCCCUGGCUUGGGACCCCAGUGUCUGGGGAUGGAGUCCCAGCUCUACCAUUUACAAAUUGUGUGACCAUGGCUGGAUCAUGUCACCAGUCAGUAUGGGUCUGUGUCCCCAUUAACAAAUGGGAGUGAUGGUCCAGCAUUGUGGGCCUGAAUCAGAGUGACAGCACAUUGCAAAGGCACCAUGUAAGCUCCAGCAGGUGUGUCACAGCUACUUGUGGUGUCAUGAAAUCUGAAGUCUCUGAUCCAGUGAAUCAGCUUCUGAAUAUUUAAUCAAAGGAAAUUAAAACACUAACUCAGGAGUUCCCAUCAUGGUGCAGUGGUUAACGGAUCCGACUAGGAACCAUAAGGUUGCGAGUUCGAUCCCUGGCCUUGCUCAGUGGGUCGAGGAUCCAGCAUUGCCGUGAGCUGUGGUGUAAGUUGCAGACACGGCUGGGAUCCUGCGUUGCUGCGGCUCUGGCGUAGGCCGGUGGCUAUAGCUCCAAUUAGACCCCUAGCCUGGGAAUCUCCAUAUGCCGCUGGAGCGGCCCUAGAAAAAGGCAAAAAGACAAAACAAACAAACAAACAAACAAAAAAACACUAACUCAAAAAGGUAUCUGUACCCCCAUGUUCAUUGCAGCAUUAUUUACAAUAGCCAGGAUAUGCAAACAACCUAAGUGUCUAUUGAUGGAUGAAUCAAUAAAGAAAUGUGGUGUGUAUAUGUAAUGGAAUAUACUUCAGCCAUAGGAAAGAAUAAAAUUCUGCCAUUUUGCAACAACAUGGAUGAACCUUGAGGGCAUUAUGCUAAAUGAAAUGUCAGACAGAGAAAGACAAAUACCAUAUGAUCUUACUCAUAUAUGAAAUUAAAAAGAAAAACUAAGGUCAUAAAUACAAAAAGUAGAUUGGUGGUUGCCAAAGAUGGGGGGAUAGGAGAAUGGGCGAAAUGACUGAAGGGGGUCAAAAGGUAUAGACUUUCAGUUAUAAGAUAAAUAAGUCCUGGGAUAUAAUGUACAGCAUGGUGACUGUAGUUAACACUGUAUUGCACAUUUUAAUGUUUCUAAGAGAGUGGAUCUUAAAAAUUCAUCACAAGAGAAAAAAUUUAUAACUAUGUAUGGUAACAGAUAUUAACUACACUUAUUAUGGAGACCAUUUUUCAGUGUAUACAAAUAUUGAAUCAUGUUGUAUGCCUGAAAUUAUUAUAAUGUUAUAUGUCAAUUAUACCUAAAUAAAAAACAAAAUGAAUGAAAUCUGAAGUCCCUGGAUUGUUACCUGCCCAGUUCCAGGAGAGCUGUCCACAGACAGGCAGCCAACAACCCCCACCCCCCACCUGGUUCAAGUCCUCAAUCUGCCACUGACUAGCUUUGUUUUGCUUCUCCAUGAAGUGAAGAUUUUCGUUCUUAUCUCCCAGGAUUAUUGGGAGAAGUGAUGAGGUGAUGUAUGGACAGUGCCUGGCACACAGUGGGCUGGCACUGGUGACAGAAGUGUUCUCAGUUCAGUGGUUACUCCAGAGCACUUCAGGAGUCCAGGUGUGACCCUGGCAGGACAGACCACGUGCUCUGAGAAGAAACAACCGUCGUUCUGGGUAAAGGGUGCAUUUGGCCAGCGCCAAGGGCCCUGGAGGCUUUGUGGAGCUGGGCCCUUCCACCUUCCUUUCAACUUGAGCUGGGUCCAACCUCCCAAAGGUUCAUGUUUCACUCUUAAUUACCCCUCAGGCUCUUCUCUCAGCCUGUCUUUCAUUUCCACCACAGGCUGGGAGCCAGACAGUUUGAACAGAACCUCAUCUGGAGUGUGUUAACUCUUCUCCCCCGGCGUUGGCAGAGAUCUGGGAUCAGCUCUGCAUUAGGACAAGUUGUAAGUAAACACGCAUUUGUGCUAAUGUGGCUCCUCCUCCCAUCCCAUAGCCUUAUCUUAGAUUUGUGCAGCUUCAAAUCAGGGAACAGGAGUGUGUUUGGAAAAAACCUUAGAUCUCAUUUAAGCCAGCCCACCCAUUUUACGGAAGAGCCAAUUGAAGAUGUUAAGUUGUUCAUGUUCACGGAGAUAACUUGGGGAUGUGAACAGAGCUGGAAAGCAGGUCUUCUGACUCUUAGUUAACUUUUACCACAACCAUGUACUUCAAUUUUCACUCAUUCCUUCAAAAAAUAUGUAUUGAGCUGCUAACACCUUUUGCCUGGUCCUUCUGGGGGCAUUGGAGAAACAGAUAAAUAAGAAAUGAGAGGAGGGGACAAGAUGGCGGAGGAGUGGGGGACACGCUCGCCCUCUCCCACAAACACAACAAAAAAAGCACAUCUACAGAAUAAAUGACUCGCACAGAACAGCAACCAAUCGCUGGCAGAGGAACCUAAACUCCAAUAACGGCAAGAAGUUCGUGACAUUACUGGGCAGAACGGGAGAAAAGAGGAGAGUGAGAGAAGGUGAAUCCGAGCGGGAUGGGCGCUCCCGAAAGGGAACUGUGGAGGAGAAAGGGACCCCGCACCCUGGAAAGUCACCUACCGGGGGAAAGAUCAAACGAACUGGAGGAAUCUCCAGAUGCAGAGAAGAGUGUAGCAGUAAGUUGGAGUACGGAAAAGCCGAUCAAGAACCGGACGGACCAUCUGAACUACGGGCACAGUCACCAAAAAUUGAGACGCCUGGGUGGGGGCUGGGCACCGAGACCUCGGCUCCAGAGGUUAGUCCCCUGGAAAGGGACGGGGGACGCCUGGAUGGGGGCUGGGCACUGAGACCUCGGCUCCAGAGGUUAGUCUGCGAGAGAGGGCGGGGCGGAGCGGAAA
rnacentral:lncRNA from 1 species